rnacentral:rRNA from 1 species
AUACGGAGGGUGCAAGCGUUACUCGGAAUCACUGGGCGUAAAGCGCGCGCAGGCGGUCUUUUAAGUUGGAUGUGAAAGCCUACGGCUCAACCGUAGAACUGCAUCCAAAACUAUUAGACUAGAGUGUGGGAGAGGAAGAUGGAAUUAGUUGUGUAGGGGUAAAAUCCGUAGAGAUAACUAGGAAUACCGAAAGCGAAGGCAAUCUUCUGGAACACUACUGACGCUGAGGCGCGAAAGCGUGGGGAGCAAACAGGAUUAGAAACCCUAGUAGUCC